rnacentral:rRNA from 1 species
UGCCAGCCGCCGCGGUAAUACGGAGGUGCGAGCGUUAAUCGGAAUUACUGGGCGUAAAGGGCGCGUAGGCGGUCGCGCAAGUCGGGUGUGAAAGCCCCGGGCUCAACCUGGGAAUUGCAUUCGAUACUGCGUGACUAGAGUCUGGUAGAGGGAAGCGGAAUUCCGCAUGUAGCGGUGAAAUGCGUAGAUAUGCGGAGGAACACCAGUGGCGAAGGCGGCUUCCUGGACCAAGACUGACGCUGAGGCGCGAAAGCGUGGGGAGCAAACAGGAUUAGAUACCCUGGUAGUCCACGCCCUAAACGAUGAGGACUAGACGUUGGGGGGAUAAAACCCUUUAGUGUCGCAGCUAACGCGUGAAGUCCUCCGCCUGGGGAGUACGGCCGCAAGGUUGAAACUCAAAUGAAUUGACGG